ACAACUAAGCCCAGCAGUAAUAUUUAUGGCUUAUUACGGAGCAUCAGUUACUCUGUGUGUUUGCAGGCAGAGAGGCCACAUGUUCAAAUAAAAAUAUAUAAGAAAUUUAUUAAAAUACGUAUUCAAGACUCACAAAUGUAUGCAUUUUAUUCAUACUUCUAAAUAAUAUAAUCAUAGAAAUUACCCUGUAGUCAAUGUCUAUUUAUUUAUUCAUUUUGAGACAAAGUCUCGCUCUGCCACCCAGGCUGGAGUGCAGUGGCACGAUCUCAGCUCACCACAACCUCCACCUCCCAAGUUCAAGAGAUUCUCCUGCCUCAGACUCCUGAGUAACUGGGAUUACAGGCACUCACCACCGUGCCUGGCUAACUUUUCUAUUUAUAGUACAGACACUGUUUCAACAUGUUGGCAACGCUGGUCUUGAACUCCUGACCUCAGGUGAUCCACCUGUCUCAGCCUCCCAAAGUGCUAGGAUUACUGACAUGAGCCACGGUGUCCGGCCGUCAGUAACAGUUUAGUUGUACAUUUUAAACUAACAAAAAGUGUAAAAUUAAAUUUUCUGUAAUACAAAGGAUAAAUGCUAGAGGUGAGGCAGUCAGUAACAGUUUAGUCGUACAUUUUAAAGUAACAAAAAGUGUAAAAUUAAAUUUUCUGUAAUACAAAGGAUAAAUGCUAGAGGUGAUAGAUACCUAAUUUACCAUGAGGUGAUUAUUAUAUAUUGUAUGUAUGUAUCAAAAUAUGCCAUAUGUGGUUUAAAUAUAUACACAUACUAUGUACCCAAAAAUAUUAAGUAAAUUUAAAUGAGAAAGAAAAAAUAAAAACUUAACAUACAGGAACAACAUUCUUUAACUUCUUUGCAGUUUAAAGCCACUAGCAAAAAAGAUUACUACAAAUACUACUUUAUUAUGUUAACAAAUAAUAUAUUGUUACCAUCUUUUACCUACACUCUAAGGUGGAAUGGGUUAAGGUUAGCGGCAAAAUAAUGCUUCAUUGAAUGCACAAUAGUAUUUAACGUGUUAAAAACGUUAAAUUAAAAAGUUAAGUCUACACAUAAUUUCAAAGUUUUAAAAUGUACUGGAUUGUAUCACAUAAAAGUACAAUUAGUAAAAUAAUACACUAUUAAAUUUUAACUAAAAUUAAAAAUAUUUUUCUCUCAUAAUGUAGAGUAUUAAACUGAACACCUACUUCAUGCAUUGCUCAAUAUUAUAAGUUAAUCACAAAGAGCAUCCCUACUUAGAUUUUCAUCAUACAUCUUACAUUUUAAUGUCUUUACUCUUUCAUAGAAGAGAGAAUAUAUAACGCCCACCUAAUAAAAAAGAAUCUCUCAUAUCUUUCAUGCAGGAACAAUUCAUCACAUACUUUCACAUGUGAAUACAAUAGGAAUAAAGAAACAGCAUGAAUUUGAGAGUUGAAUUACAUCAUUAUUCACGUAUUUAAAAAGUCUAUAAAAUUUUUUCAAGAAAAAAGUAUACUUUGGUGGACACAGUGGCUCACGCCUGUAAUCCCAGCACUUUGGGAGGCUGAGCCAGGUGGAUCACCUGAGGUCAGGGGUUCAAGACAACCUGCCCAAUGGCCAAGACCCCAUCUCUACUAAAAAUACAAAAAUUAGCCAGGCAUGGUAGCUCAUGCCUGUCAUCCCAGCUACUUGGGAGGCUGAAGCAGGAGAGUCACUUGAACUGGGAGGCGGAGGCUGCACUCCAACCUGGGUGACAGAGCAAGACUUUGUCUAAAAAAAAAAAAAAAAAAAAAAAAAACAAAAGUAAAGCCUGACCAACAUGGUGAAACCGUCUCUACUAAAAAUACUAAAAAUUAGCAAGGCAUGGUGGUGCACGCCUGUAAUCCCAGCUACUCAGAAGGCUGAGGCAGGAGAAUCACCUGAACCUGGGAGGUGGAGGUUGCAGUGAGCCGAGAUAGCACCACUGCACUCCAUCCUGCACGAUGGGAACAAGACUCCAUCUCAAAAA
rnacentral:lncRNA from 10 species